GUGAGAAGUGGACAUUGUAUUACGGCUGUGGUGGAGCUCACAGUUAAUGAAAAUGAUUUAUAGACGUUGAUACUGAAAACUUCUGCUGUCGGGACAACUUUACAGCAAAGGAAGCAGCAGAGUCUUCCAAACAAAGUACAUAUGCUACUGUGACACACAUUUAUGAGUGUUGCCUGCAGAUUGAAGGAAGUGAUCCUUUACCUCUGCUCAGCACUUGUGAGACACAUUUGGAGUGCUGAACCCACCAGUACAAGGCAGGUUUCCCCGAAAGGCUGAGGGAUCACCAUUUGUGUGCAUUCUCAAAACCCAACCAGACAUGAUCCUGGGCAACCUGCUUUAUCUGACCACACUUGAGCAGAAGCCUUGGAUUAGAUCCUCUCCAGAGAUGCUCUCCAACAUCAGCCAUUCAACUGAACAUAGUGCAUAUUGUCAAUCUCACUGAACUCUCACUGUGACUGUGCAGCAGCAGAAAUCUCAGGCACUGAUCUCAGCCAAAUGAAGACCAGUGCCCAGAUUCAGGCUACACAACUCAGGUUGUACACAAACCCCAUGACGGAAGAAGAAAGAAGACUGUUGGUAGACAGGAUAUAUUUCUACAACCACAGGGAGAGCAAAGCAUCAUGGAAUAACAGUCCACAGUUAUCUGAAGAAACUGAUUUUCUUUUUACUUUUCCUUAGAUAUCAGAAUUAAGAGUUGUACUACUCUCCUUUGUUUAUACCUUGCUUGCUUCUUCAUUCAGAUUGUAUCGUAAAAUUUAUAUGAAUAAAAUAUUA